rnacentral:rRNA from 1 species
AGCAGCCGCGGUAAUUCCAGCUCCAAUAGCGUGUAUUAAAGUUGUUGCAGUUAAAAAGCUCGUAGUUGAAUUUCGGGGUCAGUAGGUUGGUCAUGCCACUGGUAUGUACUGGUCUCACUGAUUCCUCCUUCCUGAUGAACUGUAAUGCCAUUAAUUUGGUGUUGCAGGGAGUCUGGACUGUUACUUUGAAAAAAUUAGAGUGUUUAAAGCAGGCUAACGCCUGAAUACAUUAGCAUGGAAUAAUGAAAUAGGACGUUCGAUCCUAUUUUGUUGGUUUCUAGGAUUAACGUAAUGAUUAAUAGGGAUAGUUGGGGGCAUUGGUAUUGAGUCGCUAGAGGUGAAAUUCUUGGAUUGACUCAAGACCAACUAUUGGCGAAAGCAUUUGCCAAGGAUGUUUUCAUUAAUCAAGAACGAAGGUUAGGGGAUCGAAAACGAUCAGAUACCGUCGU